AGUGAACGCUGGCGGUAGGCCUAACACAUGCAGGUCGAACGGCAGCACAGUAAGAGCUUGCUCUUACGGGUGGCGAGUGGCGGACGGGUGAGGAAUACAUCGGAAUCUACUUUUUCGUGGGGGAUAACGUAGGGAAACUUACGCUAAUACCGCAUACGACCUACGGGUGAAAGCAGGGGAUCUUCGGACCUUGCGCGAUUGAAUGAGCCGAUGUCGGAUUAGCUAGUUGGCGGGGUAAAGGCCCACCAAGGCGACGAUCCGUAGCUGGUCUGAGAGGAUGAUCAGCCACACUGGAACUGAGACACGGUCCAGACUCCUACGGGAGGCAGCAGUGGGGAAUAUUGGACAAUGGGCGCAAGCCUGAUCCAGCCAUACCGCGUGGGUGAAGAAGGCCUUCGGGUUGUAAAGCCCUUUUGUUGGGAAAGAAAAGCGGCAGGUUAAUACCCCGCUGUUCUGACGGUACCCAAAGAAUAAGUACCGGCUAACUUCGUG
rnacentral:rRNA from 1 species